GAGCUGUGAGGAUUUAGGCUUCAGCGAUGGUUGGGUCCAUCGCAUUCAUCUGAUAUCCGGAUGCAAUAUAGCCAUACACUGAGCUC
rfam:Brassica oleracea var. oleracea cultivar TO1000 chromosome C9, whole genome shotgun sequence